rnacentral:tRNA from 1 species
GGGCCCGUAGCUCAGCCAGGUGGAGCGGCGGGCUCUUAACUUAUAGAGCCAGGUAGAGGAGGUACCCGUAGGUCCCGGGUUCAAAUCCCGGCGGGCCCG